rnacentral:lncRNA from 1 species
AGCAACAAGCUAGCUACACUAUGACAAAUUAAAAACAAGAGCCACCUGCUGUCUGCUGCCCGCUGCGCUGAGCGUGAGAGCUAGCUACUACCUUAUUACCUCUCUCCGCAGCUGUAGGCGGCGGCGGCGGCGGCCAUGGACUUCGUGCUCCAGGUCCUGCUGCGGGUGGUGAUGAGAAGAAGCAUCCGCAGGCUGCAAGAGGUCGUUGACAUCGCCGUGGACAUCGGCACGGCUGUCUUCGUGGCCGUGCGGGUCUCCGGCCUCGUCUUCCGCCGCCGGCUGCCCACGCCGACUACGACAUCGUCGUCGUCGACGACGUACUACUACUCCCCGGGGACGUCCUCCUCGAUCGGCAUGCAUGUCCAGGAGGAUUAAUUAUUGACAGGCACUAGAUGAGCUAGCUAGCUAGCUAGGGCCAGAAGAUGUAUACUUCUCGCGGGGGCAUGUAAGUACUAAGGUCAUAUAUCUGUGCGUUCUUUUUUGUGGAAUCAAACUAAUUUCGCUAGCUACCCUAAUAUAUAUGUUGUGCUACUGCUCUACCUAUAUACAUGUGUAAUUUGAGGAAUUGAGGCCGCAAAUCAAAACAAAAACUUUUGAGCCGAUUCGAGUUGCAGUUGAGAAAGAAACAGUGAUUAAUUCAGAAAUUAAGAAACAGCCUUGACAUGACCAUGUAGCUUAUUUGCAAAUAAUAAAAAGCAGAAAAU